rnacentral:rRNA from 1 species
GAUGAACGCUGGCGGCGUGCCUAAUACAUGCAAGUCGAGCGAACAGACGAGGAGCUUGCUCCUCUGACGUUAGCGGCGGACGGGUGAGUAACACGUGGAUAACCUACCUAUAAGACUGGGAUAACUUCGGGAAACCGGAGCUAAUACCGGAUAAUAUAUUGAACCGCAUGGUUCAAUAGUGAAAGACGGUUUUGCUGUCACUUAUAGAUGGAUCCGCGCCGCAUUAGCUAGUUGGUAAGGUAACGGCUUACCAAGGCAACGAUGCGUAGCCGACCUGAGAGGGUGAUCGGCCACACUGGAACUGAGACACGGUCAGACUCCUACGGGAGGCAGCAGUAGGGAAUCUUCCGCAAUGGGCGAAAGCCUGACGGAGCAACGCCGCGUGAGUGAUGAAGGUCUUCGGAUCGUAAAACUCUGUUAUUAGGGAAGAACAAAUGUGUAAGUAACUAUGCACGUCCUGACGGUACCUAAUCAGAAAGCCACGGCUAACUACGUG